CCUACGGGUGGCUGCAGUGAGGAAUAUUGGUCAAUGGGCGCGAGCCUGAACCAGCCAAGUCGCGUGAGGGAAGACGGUCCUAUGGAUUGUAAACCUCUUUUGUCGGGGAGCAAAAGCCGCCACGCGUGUCGUUCCGAGAGUACCCGAAGAAUAAGCAUCGGCUAACUCCGUGCCAGCAGCCGCGGUAAUACGGAGGAUGCGAGCGUUAUCCGGAUUUAUUGGGUUUAAGGGGUGCGCAGGCGGAGGAUGAAGUCAGCGGUAAAAUUGAGAGGCUCAACUUCUUCGAGCCGUUGAAACUGGUCUGCUUGAGUGAGUGAGAAGUAGGCGGAAUGCGUGGUGUAGCGGUGAAAUGCAUAGAGAUCACGCAGAACUCCGAUUGCGAAGGCAGCAUACC
rnacentral:rRNA from 1 species